rnacentral:rRNA from 1 species
UACGUAGGGUGCGAGCGUUAAUCGGAAUUACUGGGCGUAAAGCGUGCGCAGGCGGUUUUGAAAGACAGGCGUGAAAUCCCCAGGCUUAACCUGGGAACUGCGUCUGAUACUGGAUGGCUUGAAUUCGGGAGGGGGAUGCAGAAUUCCAGGUGGUAGCGGUGAAAUGCGUAGAUAUACUGGAGGAAUACCGGUGGCGAAGGCGGCAUCCUGGACCGACAUUGACGCUGGUGAGCGAAAGCUAGG